CUCCUCUCAGGAUCGCACCUGGAGAGUUUCCAGUACUCUACCAGUCUCGGAGACGAGAGGGAGAGUCAAGCAGAAGCAUAUCUAUUCCAUUCCUAGCUUGGGUCGUGGCUAGAGAGUGGAAGGCAAACUACUCCAAGU